GAGGAUGAAACACACAUAUUUAGAUAGUGUACAUGUGCAAGGGCAAAGGGUGAUCGCAACACACAAAUGAAGUUCUCAUAAUCGGAUUGCAUAUGGUUGGAAAAAUGAGUAUGGAUCAAUCCUUAAUCUUGAGAGCACUGGGAACUUUAAUGAGGCUCAAAAAACUUAGGAUCAUUUUAUUCUUUUUCUCCUUUAUUUUUUUAUUUUUCCAUUCCUUUUUCUUUUCUUUCUUCUUUCUUUCUUUUACCUCAUUUUUUUCUUUUCGCUC
rnacentral:lncRNA from 1 species